rnacentral:rRNA from 1 species
UACGUAGGGUGCAAGCGUUACUCGGAAUUACUGGGCGUAAAGCGUGCGCAGGCGGCUUUGCAAGACAGAUGUGAAAUCCCCGGGCUUAACCUGGGAACUGCAUUUGUGACUGCAAGGCUAGAGUGCGGCAGAGGGGGAUGGAAUUCCGCGUGUAGCAGUGAAAUGCGUAGAUAUGCGGAGGAACACCGAUGGCGAAGGCAAUCCCCUGGGCCUGCACUGACGCUCAUGCACGAAAGCGUGGGGAGCAAACAGG